GCGGAACAGGAACUCCCGAAUCAGCAGCAGGGAAGAUAGAGUGCUCUCACAUUAGUCGCAGUGAUAUGACGUCACCAUAACUUUAUUGAUCCUUCCAACAUGGACAACAGGAAUACAUACGAUGUAAAUACAGACCCCAGAAUCAGGCCCUAGUAUCAGCCUCCCGGGUGCAGUCAUUGCAGAACUUACAGUUCAGAAAAAUAAGCGACGCUUUUUCUGCACCACGGAAAUUAUUUAGCUCCUGUCCCUAGUGGCUGAGGACUGAGUGGUCACUUCACACGCUUCCCUAAUAAGUCUGGAGGCAAUGCUUUUAGUCUAUAGCUAAAUGCCCAGGAGAAUCACGCCAGAACAUCUUUUUCAUUACCGUCAUCACCAUUGAACACUCUGCAGAUCUUGUGGUCAUGAUUUUGCCCCAAUAUGAGUCUAUACGUGAAAAAUUGAAAGCGUUAGGAUUAUUACAUGGUGGUGAAGUGAAGGAAAGCUGUCCAUCUCCCUCCUCCUCCUUAGCAGCGGUGUACUCAGAGGAAUAUGUAGGUGACUGCAUAAAUGAUGGUAUGAGUAAAAAUAAUAUGUAAUGCUUAACGGAAAUAAAGAAAUUCAAAG